CACAGUCCAAACUGCUUGAGGUCUAGUGUGAAGUUUCUACAAUCUGUGAUGGUUUGGAGAGACAUGUCAUCUGCUGGUGUUGAUCCACUGUGUUUUAUUAUGAAGUUCAAAGUCAGUGGAGUGUUUUCCUGGAAAAUUUUACAGCACUUCAUGCUUCCCUCUACUGACAACUUUUAUAGAGAUGUGGAUUUCAUUUUCCAGCAGAAAUCGGCUCACUGCCCACACUGCCAAAAGUACCAAUUGGUCUUAUAUAAUAUUCUAAUUUUCUAAGACACUGAUUUUCAGGUUCUCUUUGGCUGUAAUCCAUAAUUAAAGUACAUAAAGAAUAAUAAAAGAAAUAAACACUUAAAAUAGAUCACUCUGUGUGCAAUACAUCUAUAUAAUAUAAGUUUAACAUUUUAAACUGAAAUAAAAUAACUUCAUUGAUACUCAUUUUUUUUGAGAUGCACUAGUAUAUUUUAUAUAUUGAAAAGAACCCUACACUGUAAAACGUAUGUAUGUGCAAGCAAUUAAACUGGGCUAACUUUAAAUAAUAAAUCUGUUCAAUUAUUUUUAUUGGAUUUAAUGUAUUUAUUUAGGUUAAAAAAAUAUUAAUUAACUAAGUCAUUUUUGGUUGAACAGAAACUGUGCAUGUUUGUUCAGUAUCUGCAUGUUUAUCAUGAUGAGUCUAUUGUGUCACAUAUAUUUUUGAUGACAUAAUAAUCCAACUCUGAUCUUGCAGUACUGUUCAUGUAGAGCUUAGAAUUGCAAUAGCAAGGUUGGUAUGUUUGUGAUAUACUGUGAUUUAUUCAUCCAUUUUUUUUGUUAUGGUCUUAAGAUUGAGACUCCUGAGUCAGAAGUGGUACAGACUCCAAAACCAUCUCAGAAGAAAAAUGCACGGAAGCGAGCGAAAGCAAAGGCCAUGCCAGCACAUGUCAGCUUUGACCUGCUGGCUGCACAGCAGAAUGAUGAUGAAGCUUAUGAUUUCAACACAGACUUUGUAUAAAUGUUUGUGUCUACACAACAGAGAGCAGAGUGUUUGUGUGUGUAUGUGUGAAGGUCUGAUGAGGCUGAUUUGUCGGAUGUUCUGUAUUUCUGUCUGUCUGACAGGACCUGUUGUAAAUAUGAGACAGAUAAUUAAACUUUUGAUCUUCUGAGAUUUCU
rnacentral:lncRNA from 1 species